UGUCAAGUUGGCGAUAGUCAUUCCGUGAGACAUGUUUUGUCCAUUUAUCGUUAAUUGCAUUGAGUAAACACAAUCUUUAUUUAAAUUCGAUGGUUAUUUAAAUACUCGAUGUUCUUGAUUCCACAUCUCAUUCGGCUGUUGUUUCUUGGGAUGUGAAGAUCCUUUUAAAGAUUUAAUUUAUUUUUAAAAUUUAAAAGCUUCUUGAUAUGAAUACGCAAUUAAUAUUCUGUGCCGUAAUAAUGGCAAUGGGUGUCACUAAAUCGUGUGCUGCUUGUACGCAGUUUGAUGGACCGGCUUUGAAAGCUGUCUCUAAUGGUGCAAAUCAAUUUUCUACAAGUUUUUAUAAAGCUUUGGCUGAUAGUGAGUCAGGUAAUUUUAUUUGUUCGCCGGUUAGUGUUAACGUAGUUAUGUCUAUGGUAAGUUUUGGAGCUCAUGGUGAUACUGAACAACAGUUAAAAUCAGUAUUGAAUUUACCAUGUGAUAAAAGUAUAAUUAAACAAGGUUAUCAAGAACUUAUUGACUCACUCAAUAAUGUAAAAGGAGCUGAAUUAAAAUUAGCCAAUAAAAUUUUCGCACCAACUGAUUAUGAAUUAAAGCCUGAAUUUAAAGAAUUGACUAAAACAUUCUUCAGGUCAGAAAUACAAAAUGUCGAUUUUAAAAAAUCUGAGGAAGCUGCAAAGACAAUAAAUGAUUGGUGUGCUAGCAAAACAAAUAAUCAUAUAACUGAACUUUUUAAGGCUGAUGAUGUUCGGGAUUCGACAUUAGUUUUAGUUAACGCAGUUUACUUCAAAGGUAAAUGGGCUGAUAAAUUUGAUUCUGCAUUGACAAAACCCGCGCCUUUUUAUACUGACGAAAAAACAACGACAGAUGUACAAAUGAUGCAUAAACACGGUCAAUUUUAUUGGGGUUUUAUUUCUGAAGUCAAUGCUAGAUUCAUUGAGCUUCCUUACGAAAGCAAAGAUUUCAAUGAAGCAAUUAGUAUGUUUAUAAUUCUUCCAAAUGAAAUCAACGGACUACUAAAUGUUGAAAGCAAUCUUUAUAAAAUUGAUUUUGGACGAUUACGAGGAUACAAAAGCAGCGUUGACCUUUAUUUGCCUAAAUUUAAAAUUGAAAGUAAAUUUGAUCUAAAAGAAAUUUUGGAAAAGUUGGGAAUUUCUGAAAUAUUUAAAAACACGGCUAAUUUCUCUGGUAUCAGUGACAAAAUAAAUAUGAAAGUCAGUAAAAUUGUUCAAAAAGCUUUUAUCGAAGUAAAUGAGGAGGGAAGUGAAGCAGCUGCGGUCACAGGGAUUCUUAUGGGCGAAUCUGCACGACCAGCAUUACCGCCACCUCCGGAGCUAUUUGUUGUCGACAAACCUUUUAUUUAUUCGAUUGUUGAUCGAAAUAGUGAUAUUAUACUAUUUCAAGGACACAUAUAUAUUCCAGUUUGACAAAUUACGAAUAGCGUGGAAAUUUUUAGUCGUAAUCUUCAAUAAUAACAAAGUACUGGAUUCGUAACUUUAUCAUUACCGCCACAAUUUGUUGUUGAUAGACCAUUUCUGUGUAUGAUUACGAAG